GGGCCGUUAGUAUAGUGGUAAUACACACCCUUCGCAUGGGUGAGACAUCGGUUCGAUUCCGAUACGGUCCA
rfam:Candidatus Woesebacteria bacterium RIFCSPLOWO2_01_FTLL_39_10 rifcsplowo2_01_scaffold_8200, whole genome shotgun sequence.